UGCUCCUAUCAAAGCAUUGGUCAUGACUAGGUCAUUAGUUCAACACCCGUCCUCCCAGGAACGGGGUGAGGUUGCCAAACCUAAGUAGCGCUACUAACUAAUACCAUGUUACCUUCCCGCAAAUAAAAGAAAACAUAAUUAACUGUUUCAGUUUAAAUGUGUGAAAUCAAUAAACCCAUCAUUCGUAUCCAAUCAGCACGACCCAUGACCACUCCAGCUACUUCAGACAGCAAGUUCCAAAUCCAUACAACCUAACAACCUGCGAGCAUGCAACAAGUGUAUCAGACAACGCUGGUGAGUUCAUAGUUUUACGAAAACGUUGUUUACCAAGUAUGUAGUUAAUCCAUUGAAGUUAAUUCCCGAAGUAAUGUUGAUAACAAUGUUGAUAAUACCCCAAUACAAGACGGCUUCUGAUUAUUUUGCCCUUUCUCCAAUGCUCCUAUCAAAGCAUUGGUCAUGACUAGGUCAUUAGUUC
rnacentral:lncRNA from 1 species